rnacentral:rRNA from 1 species
CCUACGGGAGGCAGCAGUGAGGAAUAUUGGUCAAUGGGCGCGAGCCUGAACCAGCCAAGUAGCGUGAAGGAUGACUGCCCUACGGGUUGUAAACUUCUUUUAUAAAGGAAUAAAGUGAGGCACGUGUGCCUGUUUGUGUGUACUUUAUGAAUAAGGAUCGGCUAACUCCGUGCCAGCAGCCGCGGUAAUACGGAGGAUCCGAGCGUUAUCCGGAUUUAUUGGGUUUAAAGGGAGCGUAGAUGGGUUGUUAAGUCAGUUGUGAAAGUUUGCGGCUCAACCGUAAGAUUGCAAUUGAUACUGGCAGUCUUGAGUACAGUUGAGGUAGGCGGAAUGCGUGGUGUAGCGGUGAAAUGCUUAGAUAUCACGAAGAACUCCGAUUGCGAAGGCAGCAUACUAAACUGACACUGACAUUGAGGCUCGAAAGUGUGGGUAUCGAACAGGAUUAGAUACCCCAGUAGUC